GAGUCGGGUAUUCGGGUACCCUAAAUUACCCGAUCAAUUCUAACAAAUUCGAACAAAACAGUAAACCAAACAUCCAAACACAAUUCUAACAAAUUCGAUGCAGCAAAUUUUACCAAGAAUAGGAAAUCGUCAAAUCGAAAUUCUAACAAGUCUCUCUAACCACAUUGACAACAAUGACAAGGAAAUGAAUUCAAAAUCUGUAAUAAAAAAAAAAAAAAAAAAGAAGAAGAAGCUCACCUGUCGUCGGAGCUCGGAGGCGGCACGGCUGCUGCGGGGAGACAAGCUCGGCGGCGAACGGCGGGGCGAUUGCUGAGUGCUGACUGGGCGAGGGUCACGGUGGGAGUCGCGGCCUCGUGGGAUUGGGGAGGCUGGGACGACUGCCUCUUAAAUGUGAACGACGGCGAUGCCGGGCUGGCGAGGGGCGCCGCCUCCCACGCCGGAGACGGUAACGAUUUCUGGAGACUGGAGUGCGGCGGCCGAGCGGGAGUGAGCGGUAGGGCUGGGAGCCUGGGAGGAUUUGGGAACAGGGGGUUAGGAGGUAUUUCGGGUAUUUUACUUUCAUAUUUAAUUUAAUUAAAUAGUUUAAAAUUUAUUAAUUAAAAUAUCGGGUAUUUCGGGUAUACCCGAUACCCGAUCGGGUAUACCCGAUACCCGAUUAUUUCACACCCUAAAUACCCGAUCCCGAACCCGAUCC
rnacentral:lncRNA from 1 species